GUAUAUCAACAUGUGAAUAAAUGCCAUGAUUAUCCAAGUGGGGACACUUGUAUAACCAUUUAGAAAUCAACUUAACAGAAUAUAUAUCUGAGCUAACAUGUUGAUAAUCAAAGCGUACAUAAUCUGUACAGGAAUAGAAUAAUUCUGAAACUUCUUACUCAUGUCCAUUGCAUAAAGAAAAUGCAAAGGUAGGAUACUUGCCUGAUUCGCUGAUUACAAAUCUCAACUUAGGUUUUAUCUCUUUAUCACAACCUAUCAAUAAUCAGAUCAUUCGUUCGAUUAGAACAAUAUAUCAUAACACAUAGUACUGUCUAUUACAGUCAGCACAUAGUCUAAUCACGUCAUCACAUAAUCGCAGUGAUCAUACUUUUAGUUCAUAUUCUAUACUUGAAAUAUUUUUAUACAUUUUUCAAAUAUCUCAUCCAUGCUCUUACAGAAGCCUUUU
rnacentral:lncRNA from 1 species